UGGAAUAAUCGCUUUUUUGUAUUUGUCUAGUAGGCAUUUUAUAAAAAGAUGCCCUC
ensembl:snRNA U7 U7 small nuclear RNA